UUUUGUAUCGUAUGUAUGUCGCUCUGGAUAAGAGCGUCUGCUAAAUGACUUAAA
rfam:Salmo salar isolate Sally breed double haploid chromosome ssa14, whole genome shotgun sequence.